rnacentral:rRNA from 1 species
GACGAACGCUGGCGGCGUGCCUAAUACAUGCAAGUCGAACGAGAGCGACCGGUGCUUGCCCUGGUCAAUCUAGUGGCGAACGGGUGAGUAACACGUGGGUAACCUGCCCAUCAGAGGGGGAUAACAUCCGGAAACGGAUGCUAAAACCGCAUAGGUCUUCGAGCCGCAUGGCUUGAAGAGGAAAAGAGGCGCAAGCUUCUGCUGAUGGAUGGACCCGCGGUGCAUUAGCUAGUUGGUGAGGUAACGGCUCACCAAGGCCGUGAUGCAUAGCCGACCUGAGAGGGUGAUCGGACACAUUGGGACUGAGACACGGCCCAAACUCCUACGGGAGGCAGCAGUAGGGAAUCUUCCGCAAUGGACGCAAGUCUGACGGAGCAACGCCGCGUGAGUGAAGAAGGUUUUCGGAUCGUAAAACUCUGUUGUUAGAGAAGAACAAGUGCUAGAGUAACUGUUAGCGCCUUGACGGUAUCUAACCAGAAAGCCACGGCUAACUACGUG